UACGUAGGGUGCAAGCGUUGUCCGGAAUUAUUGGGCGUAAAGGGCUUGUAGGCGGUCUGUCGCGUCUGCUGUGAAAAUCCGGGGCUCAACCCCGGACUUGCAGUGGGUACGGGCAGACUAGAGUGUGGUAGGGGAGACUGGAAUUCCUGGUGUAGCGGUGAAAUGCGCAGAUAUCAGGAGGAACACCGGUGGCGAAGGCGGGUCUCUGGGCCGAUACUGACGCUGAGGAGCGAAAGCGUGGGGAGCGAACAGG
rnacentral:rRNA from 1 species